rnacentral:tRNA from 1 species
UCCGGCAUGGUCUAGUGGUUAGGAUACCUGGCUCUCACCUACGAGCCCGGGUUCGAUUCCCGGUGUCGGAA